rnacentral:lncRNA from 1 species
CAGGGCGAUCUCAGUUUGUGCAUCAGGUUGGCAUAAGACUGGCCAGCACAGGAACUCGGAGAUGAAGUUUAGAAGCCAGAGUGGUGAGAACGAGGGAGGAACAGACUCUCUGAGACAGGAUGUGAGAAGGCUACCUACGGUGAUGUCCAAUUCUCUGCCUGUUGAUUUUAAAACUAACAAUCAAUGUUUUAAAAUUUGUAUUUUUAGGACCAACUGACAUGGCAAUGGAUUAGUCUGCCACAUUUUCUGUGUACUCCUCUGCUGGUGGCACAUGGAUCAUCUCCAUGCUUUGCCUACCGCAGAGAAAGGGUCCAUGAGUGUGCAUAACUGAUUGAGCUCCUGUUAGGUCCUGAGGCUAAGCUCACAGCAGAGCACUGGGCUCCACAAUCGUCCUGCCAGGAGCUUGUUAUAGUGACCUUCCCUUAACAUUGUAGGGAGGUGUGUCUCUGAGUUUUCAAUUCUGUCCUAGCAGAGAACUAAGAGCCCAGGAUCCGUGCACAGGAUCAGGGAGCCAUGGUGGUAGAGACAGUAUAGAGGCCCAGAGAAGGGGACAGUGCAGCCACUGGCCACCCAUUUCCAUCCUGCCAGCCACCAGUGCAGGGGUGCAGGGGGCAGGGAGACUGGUCCAGUGAUGGCCAUCUUAAGAAUGCCUUGACGGAUUAAAACUGAUAAUGUUCUGGCAUGUGUAUCCAUUAAAGUUCAACACAUUUUCAAAGGUUAUAACAUAGUACAUGUUACAGGUAUGCCUUACAAUCCCACAAGUCAGAUAGUUCUAGAAAGGUCUAACCAUACUUUAAAGGAGAUAUGCAUGAGCAGAGGGGAGGUUAUGAGAUCUCCCAGAGAGAGAUUACAUAAUGCUUCAUUUACUUUACGUUUUUAAAAUAUUAAUGAGACAGAUGGCGCAGCUGCUGAAGAUUUAGACAUUUUAGAAAGGAGUGCUGAAUUAAAUUACCCUGUAUACUUUAAUGAUACGUU